GCAUUGAUGGGGUAGUAGUGACCUGGGUUGUUAAUGCGUGAGUCCUCUCGACCCGCUGGGGGUUCAAUUCCCUCUUAAUGCA